rnacentral:lncRNA from 1 species
GAGUAGAAGACCCCAGGUUUAUUAAUGAGCUGUGGUGUGAGGUAGGCAGGAUUGGUGCACUCCUUCUAGAAGAUGGGUCACUGAGUAUUCCUCUGCUAUAGCUGUUCACCAGAAAGUGUGCUCUGUUGUGUUGUCUGUCACCCAUUGUGCAGGCUCACAAGGUACAUUUCUUUGCAUGCACUUAUCUCCACCUAAACUGUGGGAAUUGCCACAAUGCUGGCAAUUGGCCUUGGUGUUCCUCAGGCAUUGUUUCCACAAAGCAAUUAGUGCAUAUCCACUGAGGACAGGUACUAGGAUCGCAGUAGUCAUGCAUCUGGACCUGCUAUGGAGCCAGACCAGACUCUGACUUGGCCUAGCUCCUGCAUGCUUAUGCCCACAAUCUGCUAAGGCCAGACCAGUCUCAGCCAUGGAGUACCCAUUAUCUGCUUGGAUGUCCCACAGGCAUNGGAGAGACUUCAGCCCUUCUUCCUAAGUCACAUGGCCAUGGGGCUCAGCUCUGAUUUCAGACCCAUCUCUGUGUGUGGGUAACCCACUGGCUUAUGUUUCCAGAACUUGCAGGGAUGGGGGCUGGCACACACUCCUAGAGCUCAUAGAGGGGGUGCCCUGUCAGCUGAGAGUGCAGAGAAAGAGGCUGCCAUGGUGGGCCCUGCCCCUUCCUUUAUGCGCUCCUUAACAGUGGUGCUUUGCUUCUGUGGUUGGCCUGGGCAUCCUCUGAGUACAUCCUUGGUUAUGGCCAUACCUCACUCUAGCCCCUUCAGGAUGUCUCUGUGCAGCCAACCCCAGUCCUCUCCCCAGGUCUGCCUCUUAAGCUCCAGUUUCAGCACCUAGCCUUUGCCUGCACCUGGAGACAUGUGCCUCAGGCUGGGGAACACAGGGUGAUGGUGCAGACCAUUUGGGUAGGUCUCUGUUCUGCCUGCCACAUACAGCUGUGCACUCUCCUCCAAGCCUCUAAAGCUCCCUUUCUGUCCUGCCUGAUCUCCUCUACCCCCAUUGAGGGGACUUCACAGGGUGUGGAAACUUCUCCUCUCCUUCAGCUCCCUCCCAGGGGCACAGGCCCUGUCCUGCUUUUCUUCCCGCCGCCCCGCCCCCCCAGUUACAUGGAGCUCUUUCUUCCAUCUCAGGAGUCUGAGGUCUUCAGGCAACAUUCACUAGGUAUUCUGUGAGAUCUGUUCCAUAUGUAGAUGUAUUUUGGAUGCAUUUGUAGGAGGAUGUGAGCUCCAUGUCCCUCUACUCUUCCAUCCUGAUUCCUCCCACACUUUUGAUAUAUGUAUCUGAUCAAAUUCUUCACCCUGUACCUUUUUAUCUGUACGUCCUUGACUUGCCUUUAGCAAGAAUCUUAAGUGGCUUUAGCAAAAACUCUUGAUGCCUCCUCUUAGCAAUUCUCCACCCACCGAACCCCUCUCCAUUCCGCUUGUCGUCUCUCCUGUACUCAGAAUUGAACCCAAUCUCUCCUCCUAUUGUGAUAAGUCUCGACACCUGCUGUGACAAUUUCCAGCCUACUUACCGCAAUAGUCCCAAGUAAAGUCUUCCAUUCUGUUUAUAAGGAUCAAUCAGUUUUUCUCUACCACAUUGUAUCUGUCUUGGAAGCCUCCCACGACCCCAGCCUGGAGUGAGCACCCUCUGCCAAGCUCCUAUCACACCCUGGGCUCCCUCUCCCUUUAUCUCAUGUGAUGUUAUUAUUCAUACACCUUUAUCUUCUGCACUGGGCUGGGGUUCCAUGAGGUCAAGAACUAUGUCUUACCCAUCUUCGAAUUAUUACCACUUGGUAUAGAUGCUUAACUCUAGUAAUUGUUUUUAAAGUGAACCAAUCUAUUAAAUGGGGGUUUUCUGCAGUGUCUGGUGAAAACUACUGGAUAUGCUAUCAGGACUUCACAAAUAUUUGGAAAUAGCUAACUGAUUUUUAAAGGCAUGAAGAGACCACAUGAUGUGGGGUUCAAGGACCAGCAACUUCUGCAUCACAUGGCAGUUAGAAAUGCAGAGCAUCAGGCUGAACAUAAUGAAUUGGAUUUUAGUAAGAUCCUCACAAAUGAUUCCCUAAGCACUGGUGAAUUCACUAAAGGUUGAGAAGCCCAAAGACUAGGCUUAUUCUUACUAUUAUGGUUCUUUCAAAAGCAUAUAUUAUAUAAUAUGUUUAUCUGCAUCCUUGGAAAGAGUGUAGACAAUUGACAAGGUCAUGAGUUAUGGGGCACAUAGACCUGGGUUCAAUUUUCAGGACUAUUAUUUAACCUGAAUUUCUGUUCCCUCAUCUUUAAAAAGGAGAUGAUACCUGCAUCAUACUUUCUAUUGCGGAUUAAAUAAUGAACAUUGUAUCUUGUUCAGCAAAGGUUUGUUCCAUUCCCUUCCUUCUCAGUGCUGGACUUGCUAUGACCUGCAUUAUUGAACAUGGUUCACAAUAGUAGGAAAGGACUUAGACUCUAAGGAGAGAAUCCACAGGUCACCCUGUGCUCUUUGUCCCCAUAUCCCAUACUCGUUUCACUUCCAUCCACCAAACCUGUAGAGACCAGUCCUUGGAGUCAGAAAAAUAGUAUUUUGGGUGUGGCUCCACCAAUUACUUCAUCUCACUGAACUCCGAUUUCAUUUAUGAAAAGACUAGGAGUUCACGUUGUGGCUCAGUGGUAAUAAACACGAUUAGUGUCCAUGAGUACGCAGGUUUGAUCCCUGGCCUGGUUCAGUGGGUUAAGGAUCCAUCGUUGGUGUGAGCUGUGGUGUAGGUCACAGAUUGGGCUCAGAUUGUGUGUGGCUGUGGCUGUGGCACAGGCCAGCAGCUACAGUUCCAAUUUGAUCCCUAGUCUGGGAACUUCCAUAUGCCAUAGGUGCAGCCCUAAAAAAACAAAACACGACACACACACACACACACACACACAUAACAUCAGCAACAGAUAACAGCCCACCGGCACAUAGGUGCUCCAUAAAUGAUAGCUGUGAUUGGUUAAAGGUAGCUCUGAACAGCAUCAGAAUGUGCAAAACAGAUCUAUGGUCAGAGGACGUGAUUAAAUAGGGGUCUUCCCUUCCAUCAGCCUUUUUUGUUGGAUUAGACCUGAGUUUUUAUGUUUGUAGGUUUUAUGUGUUCUGUUCUGAAUAACUCAGAGGUAACAGCAUGCCCUAGCUCAGAACCGCCUUUUGUUUCCGAACACACAUGGGAUGCACUAGACAGCAGAGUGUAUCACCUUGCAGGUGUUCCUGGGAUUUGGGAAUCUGAGAGUGACUAGCUUUGUGUGAUGCGGUGACCAUGAACCAAAUAAGAAAACAGGCGUUUCUGAGAUGACUCUGGAGGAGAGCUCUUUGUACUGAGGCCAGAUUGCCAAGCCCGACUACAUAAAGGGGGCUCUUGGCCCUUUUGCUUCAGGGGUGCUGGUGUGUGGGCUGAGUGUUUUCUCUCACCUAGUUUUUAAUCCUUUGAAGGUCUGAAUACUACAUAUUUAUCUUAAUAGUCAUGGAAAGGAAAUCAAAUUGCUCAGCUCCACUUACGUAUGAAAUAAUCUUUGGGGAGAGUGGAAAUACCAGUGAAACAGGUCGUGUGGGCUCAUGUAUAAAGGAAGUUGGCAGGAUGGUCUAGAACUGUUUUUUUUCCUGUGGGUCUGGGAAACAAAAAACUCAGAAGGUUCACAUGUAUAUCCACACAUCACAUGAAUCUAUCUGAACACACCAAGUAUUUCAGGAAAGGGACGUACCUUAAAUGUGGCUACAAAACUUUUUUUUUUUUUUUUCUUUUGUCUUCUUAGGGCUGCAUCCACAGCAUAUGGAGGUGCCCAGGCUAGGGGUUGAAUCAGAGCUAUAGCUGCCAGCCUAUACCACAGCCACAGCAACAUGGGAUCCCAGCCGUGCCUGUGACCCACACCACAGCUCACGGCAA